GAAAACAAACCAAUAGUAAAGAGAAAAGACUGUAACUAACAGAGAAUUCUCUAGGCUACGGGCAGGAUUUCUGGGGACAGACAGAGAGAAAUUACUCCGAGUGCCACAGGCUAGACAAGAGGCAAACAGACCAAACAUCCCCAAACUGCCAUCCCAACCAGACAGCCAGAGACCAAACACACCCACAGCCCACUACAAAGGAGCCCCAAACAGCUUCAAAAAACCUCCAAAACCCCACUGCUACAAUGUUAUAUUUGCUUGGGAGAGGCUAUCAACUGUUAUUUAAACAAAAAUCCCCAAGUAUUUAAAGAAACUGUGAGUGAAAAAUAGCUGGGUGUAGCCAGUGUCAUACUUUGUGAGUAGAGAAAAUCUGCAGAACCAUGGCCAUGGUGAUGACAGGGUGAUCCAUAUUGAGACAAUGCAUGUGAACACCUAAGAGCAGACUCUGCAGGGACAUGGAGGGAUGAGGCACUCUGUCCCCAGCCCCAAGAUAAAUACAGCUGUACCUAAUCCAUUCUUGAGAAUAUUGCCUGAGCUUUCUAAACACUUCUGAAGAUAGAGGCUCCCCAAGCAUUUCCCUCCAUCGACCACUGACCCUUGAGGGGGAUGUUUAUUCCCAACUGGAAACGUGAGCGGUCAAAAUGCAUCUGCGUAAUUUUCCUUUUCCAGCCUAAACAAGGACUUCUCUUUACAUCUUCCACCUAACACUGUAGACUAUGAACAUACCUGUUGUCCUUCCUGGAACUUAUCUUGCUGAAGUACUAACCCUACAGUAGUGUUCUUGUCACUGUAUGUGUAAAAUAGGAUGUGCCUGUUCAUCCAGGGCACUGAGAACACCAGCACCAAUGCUUUUAAUCACAUGAUAAAACAAGAACGCUUAAAGAGAGAAUACUAUCUUAUACCAGACUGCUAGAUAAGCCUUCCAUAAGCAACUUUUACCAGUGUUAAAGACAAAAUUAUAUACCUGCCAAUUCUGAACUUGAAGGUGAACAGAAGUCGUUAUAUCUGACUCUUCUAACAGUUGCUUGUAAUUGCAAUAUGCUGUAAUUUUGAUAUUCUUCUGUCUCAGCAUUUCAGAAUCUUCUCAGCUCAGUGGGAUAUGUUAGCUGCUGAUGUUCCCAUCGCCAGAUUGCAAAUAGACAAAAUCAAAUGCAAUAAAACUUGGAAGCAAAGCCCCAAACCCUCACUAAUAUUAAAGGAAUGGCCUAAAGCCAGUUUCCUACAAAUUCUGCUUUCUAACUUUGAUGAAAUGCUUUAUUCAUAUUUGGGUCAACUGUAUCGGUGUGUUUGAAAGCUGUUUCCUUCUGCAAUCUGAUAUUCUUCGAGUAUUUGACUUCAGCUUCUCAGUGGCUGGAAAUUUAGCCCAGGAUGGCCAAUCUCCAAAUCCUAGUCACUCUAAAAUUCUGAGCUCCCAAGACUAGAUGAGUAUAAAUAUAUUUAUUUCAGAAUUAACAUGGUAAUUCCAUUGCAUGUUUAAGCACAAUGGAUAAUUGUACCUAAUUCUGAUAGUAACAUUUUAUAGAAUAUUAUCCAAAUUCUUCUAAAUACUGAUUUUUCAAAUAGAGAUCCUUUGACCCUGAGCAGGAUUCAUUUCCUGCUCCCCAUGCAGCUGACAGGCAGCUCAGAGUCAGUGGCUUCACUAGGCAGGAGGAUGCUUAGUUCCACUACCUGGACUUGACUCAGCACUGGUGUUACCACCUACUAAGAAACAACUGAGAAAAGACAUAAGCUGCUCCCAACAGCCCUUACUGCUUUAAGGCAUUUUGAGUUCUUGGUUCUGGCACCAAAGUGAGCCUAAGCAACAACCUUUUUGGGAUAAUGAAGAAGACCCAAGUAGAUUACACAGAGAGUGGAGUUCCAGUGGAUAGUCAAGUAUAUGAAAAUUUGUAAUAGCUCUGUAACACAGCAUCUCCAGUUUCUCUUCAAAGCUCAGGAUAACCAGUUAUCUUGGAUUGCCUCAGAAAGGUUCAUGGGAUUUCUUUGCUGUCAGGGUCUUUUUGCCCUUUCCCACAAGUGAAACACUGCUCAGAUACAGCUCAUGUCCAUGAAGAUGUUGGUUUGACUACACAGAUGUAAAUUGCUGUUUGCCCUCCUUACCAAUCUCCAAAGAACAAUCAGCUGAAACUCAGCAAAGGUCUCUGAAGUGCACUGAAAUCUGCCCCAUCUUUCUCUGGAUGAGGACAAGGCAGCAAGAGCACUGCUGUACCCAUGGAGGCACUGGGACACAGAUACUCAGCAUCUCACUGUGCUGAGAUCUGCCCUGGUGUUCUUGAAUUAAGGUGUGCUUGUACCACUCGUCUGAGGUGUCAGGUUUGUGCAAGCUAUGUCAGCGCCCUUGGCCUGAUCCAGCGGUGUUGGACGCAUAGUAUGGGGAAUCUUUAUCUGUUGAAUACCUUAAUUUCUGGAGGAAGUCCAAGGUUGAGUGACACAGGAUUCUGCUACACUGCCCACACUGGCUCUCCUUUUUCUGAGCCCUCUCCAACUUUUAACUCUUAUGGUGCUUCUUGCCUUGAAUCAUUAGUCAGUUCUCUGACUGCCCUGGAUGAUUUCUGUGUCCACCAAAGGCUGGCAUGUGAGGAUUCCACUGAAGGGCUUUAUAGAAAACCUGAUCUUUCCAGCAUACGUUAAGGAAAGAGGAAAAUGACAGGAGAAUUCAAAAGAAAAACAGAAUAGAAAAUAGCAAAUCCUUAGAAAACAGGACCUACAAUAGCCUUCUGCUGUAUCUGUGAUAAUAAAGUAGCUGUUGGCAGGCUUCUCCUAAAUACCCUCUCUAUGCAGUGUCCAGCAGUAUUACACUGUGAAGUUCCAGCACUGCUGAAAGGGUGGCACUGAUAGAAACAGUGAAUUACAGCCAUGGCAAGCUACAGCAUAACCUUGUCAAAAGUUAUUCACUUGUGUCACUACUUUCCUGACAGAGCUUUAAGAGCCAUACACAAACUCCUUGCCUCCCAAAUGCCUUGUAUGAACUCAGGACCUUCUCUUUUCAGAGAAACCAUGAGGAAGUCUGUCUUCUGCCUCUGGUACAAAAAAUUAUCAGACUAUCAAAUCACAUAACUUGCUUCCUUCCUCUGUCUGUUUUUUCCCCUGAAUGUAUGGCAACAAAGGGAUCAGAGUGGGAACGUAUAAAGCUAACGGAAGAAGUUUCUCACUCUGUGAAAGGGUCCAUGCUAUGUGCUAUGUCCUCAGAUAAACUGAAUCAGAAAUAAUGAACUCAGAGGAGAACUUCAUGGGGUGAGCUCUUGUAAAGCGUGCUCCAGGACAAGCUAACAAUUUGUUUGCAUUGC